UAUAUAUAUAUAUAGCUGCUUGGCAUAUACAGCUUGCAUUCUCUGGAAAAUGCAUGCAUGACGUAUUUUCCUAACAACAAAUCAAUCAUCUUUCCGAAAUGGAAGGGGGGAGUAAAAGUACUAUCAGUUGUUGUCAAGAUAAACACAAUAUAUUCGCUAUUGUAUUGAUACUGACAAAUCAGCGAUUUGUGUACCACCCCCAACGUGACCCCAUUAAAACCCCGAUUUUGUUGAUAUA
rnacentral:lncRNA from 1 species